rnacentral:lncRNA from 1 species
UAUAUAUAUAUUUUGAAUAUUGGUAUUUAGUUUCUUAAUAAGAUUGUGCAAAGUAUAGCUAUGAAAAUAUGAAAAUUUAAUUGUUUAUGUUUCCUUAGUUAUUUACUGGAUUCUAGAUAUAACCCUUAUUCCUCCAAUAGAUUAUUGAAAAAAUGAAUAAAAUUAUUUUUGAAUAGCAUAGUGUGAUAAUGUGGUUGAUUAUUAGCAAGAAUAAAUUAUGUUAGUAUAAACUUUAUGUUAUUAUCUAUUGUUAAGAGCUAUGUGGACCUGAUCCUCUAUUGGAGGUACGUAGGCAGCCUUCGGGUGCGUUCCAAAGAUAAUAAAUGUUAAGACUUUAAUUAGCAAAUAGUUAUGUAAAUUCAAGCCAUAUUAACAUAUUUUCACUUAUUGGAAAUUUAAUAAGUUUAAAAUGACUAAAAUAAUUAACAUACAAAUAAUUAUAUUUAUAAGAUUAUAGAUAAAAAUUAAGCCACAAAAGAAAUCACUGAAUUAGCUAGGACAUAGGAGAACAAUUUUCAUAAAGAGACCAUGAGUGAAUUAGACCCUUAAUAUUGCCAAAACUUGACUAUAACUUAGGACAGAAGCAUACAGAAGUACCUAAAAUGAAUAACUUGGAAAGCUUGUCAAAGGAACGAAAAUUGGCAUGCGAAUAGGUGCAAUUUGUGAUAUAAAACAGCAAUUGAAAGGCAGUGUCACAGUCUGCAUAUAAAACGUAAGUUGGCAUUUGAAAGGCAGUGUCACAGUCUGCAUAUAAAACGUAAGUUGGCAUUUGAAAGGCAGUGUCACAGUCUGCAUAUAAAACGUAAGUUGGCAUUUGAAAGGCAGUGUCGUAGUUUAGUUAUAAGGCAUAGACGAAGUGUCGCACCUAUCCCAAAUCCUCAUUCACUAGCAAACUAAAUGAAAUUGUUGCUUGAACAAAUAAAGAAUAAUGGCAUAAAAAUCCAACAUUUUAUUUCUUGGCACAAUAAAUUAGGAUUUAAAAAUAUUUGGCGAUUCUUUCCAAAUUUGAAUUGAAAGUGGGGGAGCAUCUGUCGGUAGUAGGCCAUAUUGUAUUUUUUUAUUACUUGAUGCUGGACUCUACGCUACACCUUGGAUAACCAAGGCGAGGUAUUAAUACUUGGUUAAUUAAGGUAAAAUUCUUAAAUGGUGUAGAAAAACCUAAAACGCUCUCAUCGACGCCAUUGCUCGCUGCCGAAUUUAUUUUCCCAACUUCGUCUUUCGCACAAAAAGUUAGCCUUCUCGCUUCACCACCAUUUUGGCCUCAGAAAAGGAGAUAUUGCCUUCGUACUUUCUCCUAACUCUAUUCACCUUUCGAUCCUUUAUUUCUAUAUCUUCUCUCUCGGUGUCGUUACCUCUCCUAAAAAAUCAAUUAUCUUUAAACUUGAGAUUCUCCACCAAAUUCAGCUGUUGAAACCUGUACUUGUGUUCGUCACGUCGAAUGCUGCUCAUAUAAUUCCUAAUCUCAAAACAAUCGUACUCGACUCUCCCGAGUUUGAAUCGCUGAUGAUGAGUGUAGCUCACGGUGGAGAAAUGGAAGGAGGGAAGGUUUACCAAUUGGACCCUGGGACAAUUCUCUAUCCUCACGGACUACUAGUCGAGUUAAUGGAUUGGUUUUGGCUCAUUGAAAUUUCAGAUGCAUGGUGGCCCUAAGUUAUGCGGUUUACACAAGCUGGAUGGCAGCUGCAACUUUAUUUUUUUUCGUUGCCUUAUUUUCAUGUUUAUAGUUUAUGUUAUUUCGUGAGAGGUUUAACUAUGGGAGUGGCGGUGGUGUCCAUAGGUAGAUUUGAUAUGAAGAUAGUGUUGAUAGUAAUUCAGGAGUGUAAGAUAGACUGCACCGGCGGUCGUGCUGAUAACUAAGGAUCCUAGGUUGUUAGACGGCUAAGAUUUUAGCUCUCUAGAUGUUGCAGGUUGCAGCGUUGCUUCGCUUAGGAAAAGCGUAGUUGAACUGUUCCGUGAACAAUUUCCAAAUUUGACUUUAAGUCAGGGUAGUUAAACACCAAACUUGGAUUUUUACCAUUAACCGGUGGUUAAUUUCUCAUAUUGGUUAUUCAAUGUGUAGCGUAUGAUCCACCAUUAAGUAACUAAAAAAUACAGAUGGAACGUCACGUUAGCUACCGGCAAAUGCUCCCCCGCUUUCAUUUCAAAUUUGAAUUCAAUUACUAAAUGUUUUUAAAUCCUAACUUAUUGUACCAAGUAAAAUCAUUUUAAUUAAAAUGCAAAAAUUCAUAAAGGUUUAAAUUUUUUAUGUCAUUAUCCAAAAAUAUAUUAAAUGUCAAGAAAUACAUGAUAAUAGUUACUUGACAAAAUGAGAGAAGCACCACGGUACUUCUCCAUUUCGGUUAGUUAAAUAACUUUAUAGGGGUGUUAGAGUUAGUGGUAUUAGAGCUAACGUUUAGGCUUUUCUAGGUGUUAAGGAGAAGAAACAAGCCUUAUAAAUUAAGGUCUGGAUAUAACUCUACUAUAGGCUUUUGUAAGUUGGCUAAGAAUGUUAUUUGACAUUCAACACGUGUUAGAAGAUAGAGGUGAUAAUCUAAAGUCGUGAUCGCGAUAAUCUAUCCAAUGCUACAAAUGUUUGUAUUGUAAGCUGCAGAUUACAUUAUGGACAUUGGAGCAUUGAGUGGAAAUUGUGUGCAUCACUUUUAAGAAUCUGCUAGGAUAUAAUAGAUGCCUUAUAUCUGAUGCAGUUGUACCAUGACAGGUUUCUAACUGCUAUGAAUUGACUUCAAAUAAAAGUUUAUAUCCUUUUAGAAUAAAAUACUAGAGAUAUUAGCAAUAAGGUAUAGAAAAAUUCUAUGAGAGCUACAAUGUACUCAAAAAACAUAAUUGUUUUUGUGUUGUUUAUCAUUAAAAAGAGGAAUUUUAUAAAUAUUAUGACAUAAGAGAAAUGAAAAAACGGAGAGGUAUGAGUAGGUGAAAUAGGCUAGAACAUGUUAGUGACCAAUUUUCUUGUUCACUUUUUACUGUGAUGAUUGUUUGAUAUCAAAACAUAGUCUUAUCCUUUGAGAGAAAUAAAUUUGAAUUAUCAUAAUAAUAUAUUCAAGAGUUUUAAAGAAAGUUUAAUUAUCUAAACAUUAUGUAAGAGGGGAUUGAAGAUACAAGGAGAAUACGCACAUAAAAUAAGUGAUAGUUAUGAGAUGGUAGGUGUGAUUAAGGGGUUAAUUUAUCUCAUUAAUGACAUAUUAGUUACUCUAGCUAGGAAAAAAAUAAGAAAGAUUGUAGAGUCUAUCCAACUUUUAAGAACAUGACAUAGCUACUGUAUGAUUUCGUAAUGUACUUUUUGAUAAAUAUUUCGAUUCAUCAUUUGGAAGUGGAUAGGGUUGCCUUUAAGAUUAUAUUGAAGGUCUAUGUUGGAAAACCGAAGUAAUCACUGCAAAAGUUUAUUCUGUUUCCCUUUUUAGAAGCAUUAUUACAUUUGAUAAGAUUAGAUAAAUUAUUUUGGCGGAAUUGAUAUUAUUUGAGAUAAUAUUGUUGUUUAUUGGAAGUUUACUUUUUAUCUAUAUUGGUGAUAUAGUUAGAUUUUAAACACUUUAAUCGGUAUAAGUAAUUAUUAUUGAUAGGUUAUAUUGAUACCUGUUUAUAUAUAAAUGUGUAUAUAUAUAUAUAUGUUUUGAAUAUUGGUAUUUAGUUUCUUAAAUGGAUUGUGCAAAGUUAGCUAUAAAACUAUAAUUAUUUAUGUUUCCUUAGUUAUUUCCUGGAUUCUCGAUAUAACCCUUAUUCCUCCAAUAGAUUAUUGAACAAAUGAAUAAGAUUAUUUUUGUAUAGCAUAGCGUGAUAUUGUGGUUGAUUAUUAGCAAGAAUAAAUUAUAUUAGUAUAAACUUUAUGUUAUUAUCUAUUGUUAAGAGCUACGUGGACCUGAUCCUCUAUUGGAGGUACGUAGGCAGCCUUCGGGUGCGGUCGAAAUAUAAUAUAUAUUAAGACUUUAAUUAGCAAAUAGUAGCGAUGUAAAUUCAAGCCAUAUUAACAGAUUUUCAUGUUGAAUAAAUUACUUAUUGGAAAUUUAAUGAGUUUAAUAUGACUAAAAUAAUUAACAUACAAAUAAUUAUAUUUAUAAGAUUAUAGAUAAAAAUAAGCCACAAAAGAAAUCACUGAAUUAGCUAAGAUAUAGGAGAACAAUUUUGAUAAAGAGACCAUGAGUGAAUUAGACCAUUAAUAUUGCCAAAACCUGACUAUAACAUAGGAUAGAAGUAUACAGAAGUACCUAAAAUGAAUAACUUGGAAAGCUUGUCAAAGGAAUGAAAAUUGACAUGCGAAUAGGUGCAAUUUGUGAUAAAAAACAGCAAUUGAAAGGCAGUGUCACAGUCUAGAUACAAAACGUAAGUUGGCAAUUGAAAGGCAGUGUCGUAGUUCAGUUAUAAGGCAUAGACGAAGUGUCGCACCUAUCCCAAAUCCUCAUUCACUAGCAGACUAAAUGAAAUUAUUUCUUGAAAAAAUAAAGAAUAAUGGCAUAAAAAUCGAAAAUUUUAUUUCUUGGCACAAUAAAUUAGGAUUUAAAAAUAUUUGGCAAUUCUUUCCAAAUUUAAAUUGAAAGUGGGGGAGCAUUUGUCGGUAGCAGGCCAUAUUGUAUUUUUAUAUUACUCGAUGCUGGACUCUACGCUACACCUUGGAUAACCAAGGCGAGGUAUUAAUCGUUGGUUAAUUAAGGUAAAAUUCUUAAAUGGUGUAGAAAAACCUAAAACGCUCUCAUCGACGCCGUCGCUCGCUGCCGAAUUUAUUUUCCCCACUUCAUCCUUCGCACAAAAAGUUGGCCUUCUCGCUUUGCCACCAUUUUGGCCUCAGAAAAGGAGAUAUUGCCUUCGUGCUUUCUCCUAACUCUAUUCACCUUUCGGUCCUUUAUUUCUAUAUCUUCUCUCUCGGUGUCGUUACCUCUCCUAAAAAAUUAAUUAUCUUUAAACUUGUGAUUCUCCACCAAAUUCAGCUGUCGAAACCUGUACUUGUGUUCGUCACGUCGAAUGCUGCUCAUACAAUUCCUAAUCUCAAAACAUUCGUACUCGACUCUCCCGAGUUUGAAUCGCUGAUGAUGAGUCUAGCUCACUGUGGAGAAAUAGGAGGGAAGGUUUACCAAUUGGACCCUGGGACAAUUCUCUAUCCUCACGGACUACUGGUCGAGUUAAUGGAGUGGUUUUGGCUCAUCGAAAUUUCAGAUGCAUGGUGGCCCUAAGUCAUGCGGUUUACACGAGGUAGAUGGCAACUGCAACUUUCUUUUUUUCGUUGCCUUAUGUUCAUGUUCAUGGUUUAUGUUAUUUCGUGAGAGCUUUAACUAUGGGAGUGGCGGUGGUGCCCUAAGACAAUGCUGACAGUAAUUCAGGAGUGUAAGAUAGACUGCACCGGCGGUGGUGCUGAUAACUAAGGAUCCUAGGUUGUUAGACGGCUAAGAUUUUAGCUCUCUAGAUGUUGCAGGUUGCAGCGUUGCUUCGCUUAGAAAAAGCGUAGUUGAACUAUUCCGUGAGCAAUUUUGAAAUUUGACUUUAAGUCAGGUUAGUUAAUCACCAAAGUUAGAUUUUUACUAUUAACCGAUGGUUAAUUUCUCAUAUUGGUUAUUCAAUGUGUAGCGUAUGAUCCACCAUUAAGUAAUAAAAAAAUGCAGAUGGAACUUCACGUUAGCUACUGGCAAAUGCUCCCCCACUUUCAUUUCAAAUUUGAAUUGAAUCGCUAAAUGUUUUUAAAUCCUAACUUAUUGUACCAAGUAAAAUCAUAUUAAUUAAAAUGCAACAAUUCAUAAAGGUUUAAAUUUUUUAUGCCAUUAUCCAAAAAUAUAUUAAAUGUCAUGAAAUACAUGAUAGUAGUUAAUUGACAAAAUGAGAGAAGCACCAUGGUGCUUCUCCAUUUCAGUUAGUUAAAUAACCUUAUAGGGGUGUUGGAGUUAGUGGUAUUAGAGCAAAUGUGUAUACCUUAUAGGUUCAGGUCUGGAUAUAACUCUACUAUAGGCUUUUGUAAGUUGGCUAAGAAUGUUUUUUGACAUUCAACAUGUGCUAGAAGAUAGAGGUGAUAAUCUAAAGUCGUGAUCGCGAUAAUCUAUUCAAUGCUACAAACGUUUGUAUUGUAAGCUGCAGAUUGCAUUAUGGAAAUUGUAGCUUUGAGUGGAAAUUGUGUGCAUCACUUUUAAGAAUCUGCUAGGAUAUAGUAGAUGCCUUGUAUCUGAUGCAGUUGUACCAUGACAAGUUUCUAACUGCUAUGAUAUGACUUCAAAUAAAAGUUUAUAUCCUUUUAGAAUAAAAUACUAGAGAUAUUAGCAAUACGGUAUAGAAAAAUUCUAUGAGAGCGACAAUGUACUCAAAAAACAUAAUUGUUUUUGUGUUGUUUAUCAUUAAAAAGAGGAAUUUUAUAAAUAUUAUGACAUAAGAGAAAUGAAAAAACCGAGAGGUAUGAGUAGGUGAAAUAGGCUAGAAUAUGUUAGUGACCAAUUUUCUUGUUCACUUUUUACUGUGAUGAUUGUUUGAUAUCGAAACAUAGUCUUAACCUUUGAGAGAAAUAAAUUUGAAUUAUCAUAAUAACAUAUUCAAGAGUUUUAAAGAAAGUUUAAUUAUCUAAACAUUAUGUAAGAGGGGAUUGAAGAUACAAGGAGAAUACGCACAUAAAAUAAGUGAUAGUUAUGAGAUGGUAGGUGUGAUUAAGGGGUUAAUUUAUCUCAUUAAUGACAUAUUAGUUACUCUAGCUAGGAAAAAAAUAAGGAAGAUUGUAGAGUCUAUCCAACUUUUAAGAACAUGACAUAAAUAGUGUAUGAAUUACUAAUGUACUUUUUGAUAAAUAUUUCGAUUCAUCACUUGGAAGUGGAUAGAGUUGCCUUUAAGAUUAUAUUGAAGGUCUAUGUUGGAAAACCGAAUUAAUCACUGCAAUAGUUUAUUCUUUUUUCCUUUUUGGAAGUAUUUUAAUAUUUGAUAAGAUUAGAUAAAUUAUUUUGGAGGAAGUGAUACUAUUUGAGAUAAUAUUGUUGUUUAUUGAAAGUUUAGUUUUUAUCUAUAUUGGUGAUAUAGUUAGAUUUUAAACACUUUAAUCGGUACAAGUAAUUAUUAUUGAUAGAUUAUAUUGAUAUCUGUCUAUAUAUAAAUAUGUGUAUAUAUAUAUAUAUAUAUAUAUAUAUAUAUGUUUUGAAUAUUGGUAUUUAGUUUCUUAAUUGGAUUGUGCAAAGUUAGCUAUGAAAAUAUAAUUAUUUAUGUUUCCUUAGUUAUUUCCUGGAUUCUAGAUAUAACCCUUAUUCCUCCAAUAGAUUAUUGAAUAAAUGAAUAAGAUUAUUUUUGUAUAGCAUAGUGUGAUAUUGUGGUUGAUUAUUAGCAAGAAUAAAUUAUGUUAGUAUAAACUUUAUGUUAUUAUCUAUUGUUAAUAGCUACGUGGACGUGAUCCUCUAUUGGAGGUACGUAGGCAGCCUUCGGGUGCGGUCGAAAUAUAAUAUAUGUUAAGACUUUAAUUAGCAAAUAGUAGCGAUGUAAAUUCAAGCCAUAUUAACAGAUUUUCAUGUUGAAUAAAUUACUUAUUGGAAAUUUAAUAAGUUUAAUAUGACUAAAAUAAUUAACAUACAAAUAAUUAUAUUUAUAAGAUUAUAGAAAAAAAUAAAGCCACAAAAGAAAUCACUGAAUUAGCUAAGAUAUAGGAGAACAAUUUUGAUAAAGAGACUAUGAGUGAAUUAGACCCUUAAUAUUGCCAAAACUUGACUAUAACUUAGGAUAGAAGCAUACAAAAGUACCUAAAAUGAAUAACUUGGAAAGCUUGUCAAAGGAACGAAAAUUGGCAUGCAAAUAGGUGCAAUUUGUGAUAUAAAACAACAAUUGAAAGGCAGUGUCACAGUCUAGAUACAAAACGUAAGUUGGCAUUUGAAAGGCAGUGUCGUAGUUCAGUUAUAAGGCAUAAAGGAAGUGUUGCACCUAUCCCAAAUCCUCAUUCACUAGCAGACUAAAUGAAAUUGUUUCUUGAAAAAAUAAAGAAUAGUGGCAUAAAAAUCCAAAAUUUUAUUUCUUGGCACAAUAAAUUAGGAUUUAAUAAUAUUUGGCGAUUCUUUACAAAUUUGAAUUGAAAGUGGGGGAGCAUCUGUCGGUAGCAGGCCAUAUUGUAUUUUUAUAUUACUUGAUGCUGGUCUCUACGCUACACCUUGGAUAACCAAGGCGAGGUAUUAAUCGUUGGUUAAUUAAGGUAAAAUUCUUAAAUGGUGUAGAAAAACCUAAAACGCUGUCAUCGACGCCGUCGCUCGAUGCCGAAUUUAUUUUCCCGACUUCGUCCUUCGCACAAAAAGUUGGCCUUCUCGCUUCACCACCAUUUUGGCCUCAGAAAAGGAGAUAUUGCCUUCGUGCUUUCUCCUAAUUCUAUUCACUUUUCGGUCCUUUCUUUCUAUAUCUUCUCUCUCGGUGUCGUUACCUCUCCUAAAAAAUCAAUUAUCUUUAAACUUGAGAUUCUCCACCAAAUUCAGCUGUCGAAACCUGUACUUGUGUUCGUCACGUCGAAUGCUGCUCAUACAAUUCCUAAUCUCAAAACAAUCGUACUCGACUCUCUCGAGUUUGAAUCGCUCAUGAUGAGUCUAGCUCACUGUGGAGAAAUGGAAGGAGGGAAGGUUUACCAAUUGGACCCUCGGACAAUUCUCUAUCCUCACGGACUACUGGUCGAGUUAAUGGAGUGGUUUUGGCUCAUCGAAAUUUCAGAUGCAUGGUGGCCCUAAGUCAUGCGGUUUACACGAGCUGGAUGGCAGCUGCAACUUUCUUUUUUUUUCGUUGCCUUAUUUUCAUGUUUAUGGUUUAUGUUAUUACGUGAGAGGUUUAACUAUGGGAGUGGCGGUGGUGUGCAUAGGCAGAUUUGAUAUGAAGACAAUGUUGAUAGUAAUUCAGGAGUGUAAGAUAGACAGCACCGGUGGUGGUGCUAAUAACUAAGGAUCCUAGGUUGUUAGACGGCUAAGAUUUUAGCUCUCUAGAUGUUGCAGGUUGCAGCGUUGCUACGCUUAGAAAAAGCGUAGUUGAACUGUUCCGUGAACAAUUUCGAAAUUUCACUUUAAGUGAGGUUAGUUAAACACCAAACUUGGAUUUUUACCAUUAACCGGUGGUUAAUUUCUCAUAUUGGCUAUUCAAUGUGUAGCGUAUGAUCCACCAUUAAGUAAUAAAAAAAUACAGAUGGAACGUCACGUUAGCUACCGGCAAAUGCUCCCCCACUUUCAUUUCAAAUUUGAAUUGAAUCGCUGAAUGUUUUUAAAUCCUAACUUAUUGUACUAAGUAAAAUCAUUUUAAUUAAAAUGUAAAAAUUCAUAAAGGUUUAAAUUUUUUAUGCCAUUAUCCAAAAAUAUAUUAAAUGUCAUGAAAUACAUGAUAAUAGUUAAUUGACAAAAUGAGAGAAGCACCACGGUACUUUUCCAUUUCGGUUAGUUAAAUAACCUUAUAGGGGUGUUGGAGUUAGUGGUAUUAGAGCUAACGUUUAGGCCUUUNNNNNNNNNNNNNNNNNNNNNNNNNNNNNNNNNNNNNNNNNNNNNNNNNNNNNNNNNNNNNNNNNNNNNNNNNNNNNNNNNNNNNNNNNNNNNNNNNNNNNNNNNNNNNNNNNNNNNNNNNNNNNNNNNNNNNNNNNNNNNNNNNNNNNNNNNNNNNNNNNNNNNNNNNNNNNNNNNNNNNNNNNNNNNNNNNNNNNNNNNNNNNNNNNNNNNNNNNNNNNNNNNNNNNNNNNNNNNNNNNNNNNNNNNNNNNNNNNNNNNNNNNNNNNNNNNNNNNNNNNNNNNNNNNNNNNNNNNNNNNNNNNNNNNNNNNNNNNNNNNNNNNNNNNNNNNNNNNNNNNNNNNNNNNNNNNNNNNNNNNNNNNNNNNNNNNNNNNNNNNNNNNNNNNNNNNNNNNNNNNNNNNNNNNNNNNNNNNNNNNNNNNNNNNNNNNNNNNNNNNNNNNNNNNNNNNNNNNNNNNNNNNNNNNNNNNNNNNNNNNNNNNNNNNNNNNNNNNNNNNNNNNNNNNNNNNNNNNNNNNNNNNNNNNNNNNNNNNNNNNNNNNNNNNNNNNNNNNNNNNNNNNNNNNNNNNNNNNNNNNNNNNNNNNNNNNNNNNNNNNNNNNNNNNNNNNNNNNNNNNNNNNNNNNNNNNNNNNNNNNNNNNNNNNNNNNNNNNNNNNNNNNNNNNNNNNNNNNNNNNNNNNNNNNNNNNNNNNNNNNNNNNNNNNNNNNNNNNNNNNNNNNNNNNNNNNNNNNNNNNNNNNNNNNNNNNNNNNNNNNNNNNNNNNNNNNNNNNNNNNNNNNNNNNNNNNNNNNNNNNNNNNNNNNNNNNNNNNNNNNNNNNNNNNNNNNAUUCAUCACUUGGAAGUGGAUAGAGUUGCCUUUAAGAUUAUAUUGAAGGUCUAUGUUGGAAAACCGAAUUAAUCACUGCAAUAGUUUAUUCUUUUUUCCUUUUUGGAAGCAUUUUUAUAUUUGAUAAGAUUAGAUAAAUUAUUUUGGAGGAAGUGAUAUUAUUUGAGAUAAUAUUGUUAUUUAUUCGAAGUUUAGUUUUUAUCUAUAUUGGUGAUAUAGUUAGAUUUUAAACACUUUAAUCGGUACAAGUAAUUAUUAUAGACAGGUUAUAUUGAUAUCUGUUUAUAUAUAAAUAUGUGUAUAUAUAUAUAUAUAUAUAUAUCUUUUGAAUAUUGGUAUUUAGUUUCUUAAUUGGAUUGUGCAAAGUUAGCUAUGAAAAUAUAAUUAUUUAUGUUUCCUUAGUUAUUUCCUGGAUUCUAGAUAUAACCCUUAUUCCUCCAAUAGAUUAUUGAAUAAAUGAAUAAGAUUAUUUUUGUAUAGCAUAGUGUGAUAUUGCGGUUGAUUAUUAGCAAGAAUAAAUUAUGUUAGUAUAAACUUUAUGUUAUUAUCUAUUGUUAAGAGCUACGUGGACCUGAUCUUCUAUUGGAGGUACGUAGGCAGCCUUCGGGUGCGGUCGAAAUAUAAUAUAUAUUAAGACUUUAAUUAGCAAAUAGUAGCGAUGUAAAUUCAAGCCAUAUUAACAGAUUUUCAUGUUGAAUAAAUUACUUAUUAGAAAUUUAAUAAGUUUAAUAUGACUAAAAUAAUUAACAUACAAAUAAUUAUAUUUAUAAGAUUAUAGAAAAAAAUAAAUCCACAAAAGAAAUUACUGAAUUAGCUAAGAUAUAGGAGAACAAUUUUGAUAAAGAGACUAUGAGUGAAUUAGACCUUUAAUAUUGCCAAAACUUGACUAUAACUUAGGAUAGAAGCAUACAGAAGUACCUAAAAUGAAUAACUUGGAAAGCUUGUCAAAGGAACGAAAAUUGGCAUGCGAAUAGGUGCAAUUUGUGAUAUAAAACAACAAUUUAAAGGCAGUGUCACAGUCUAGAUACAAAACGUAAGUUGGCAUUUGAAAUUGUUUCGGUCCUUUCUUUCUAUAUCUUCUCUUUCGGUGUCGUUACCUCUCCUAAAAAAUCAAUUAUCUUUAAACUUGAGAUUCUCCACCAAAUUCAGCUGUCGAAACCUGUACUUGUGUUAGUCAAGUCGAAUGCUGCUCAUACAAUUCCUAAUCUCAAAAUAAUUGUACUCGACUCUCCCGAGUUUGAAUCGCUCAUGAGUCUAGCUCACUGUGGGGAAAUGGAAGGAGGGAAGGUUUACCAAUUGGACCCUCGGACAAUUCUCUAUCCUCACGGACUACUGGUCGAGUUAACGGAGUGGUUUUGGCUCAUCGAAAUUUCAGAUGCAUGGUGGCCCUAAGUCAUGCGGUUUACACGAGCUGGAUGGCAGCUGCAACUUUCUUUUUUUUUUGUUUCCUUAUUUUCAUGUUUAUGGUUUAUGUUAUUCCGUGAGAGGUUUAACUAUGGGAGUGGCGGUGGUGUGCAUAGGUAGAUUUGAUAUGAAGACAAUGCUGAUAGUAAUUCAGGAGUGUAAGACAGACUGCACCGGUGGUGGUGCUGAUAACUAAGGAUCCUAGGUUGUUAGACGGCUAAGAUUUUAGCUCUCUAGAUGUUGCAGGUUGCAGCGUUGCUACGCUUAGAAAAAGCGUAGUUGAACUGUUCCGUGAACAAUUUCGAAAUUUCACUUUAAGUGAGGUUAGUUAAACACUAAACUUGGAUUUUUACCAUUAACCGGUGGUUAAUUUCUCAUAUUCGCUAUUCAAUGUGUAGCAUAUGAUCCACCAUUAAGUAAUAAAAAAAACAGAUGGAACGUCACGUUAGCUACCGGCAAGUGCUACCCCACUUGCAUUUCAAAUUUGAAUUCAAUUCUAAAUGUUUUUAAAUCCUAACUUAUUGUACCAAGUAAAAUCAUUUUAAUUAAAAUGCAAAAAUUCAUAAAGGUUUAAAUUUUUUAUGCCAUUAUCCAAAAAUAUAUUAAAUGUCAUGAAAUACAUGAUAAUAGUUAAUUGACAAAAUGAGAGAAGCACAACGGUACUUUUCCAUUUCAGUUAGUUAAAUAACCUUAUAAGGUAUAGAAAAAUUCUAUGAGAGCGACUAUGUACUCAAAAAACAUAAUUGUUUUUGUGUUGUUUAUCAUUAAAAAGAGGAAUUUUAUAAAUAUUAUGAUAUAAGAGAAAUGAAAAAAAGGAGAGGUAUGAGUAGGUGAAAUAGGCUAAAACAUGUUAGUGACCAAUCUUCUUGUUCACUUUUUACUGUGAUGAUUGUUUGACGUCGAAACAUAGUCUUAACCUUCGAGAGAAAUAAAUUUGAAUUAUUAUAGUAACAGAUUCAAGAGUUUUAAAGAAAGUUUAAUUAUCUAAACAUUAUGUAAGAGGGGAUUGAAGAUACAAGGAAAAUACGCACAUAAAAUAGGUGAUAGUUACGAGAUGGUAGGUGUGAUUAAGGGGUUAAUUUAUCUCAUUAAUAACAUAUUAGUUACUCUAGCUAGGAAAAAAAUACGGAAGAUUGUAGAGUCUAUCAAACUUUUAAGAACAUGACAUAAAUAGUGUAUGAAUUCCUAAUGUACUUUUUGAUAAAUAUUUCGAUUCAUCACUUGGAAGUGGAUAGAAUUGCCUUUAAGAUUAUAUUGAAGGUCUAUGUUGGAAAAUCGAAUUAAUCACUGCAAUAGAUUAUUCUUUUUUUCUUUUCAGAAGUAUUAUUAUAUUUGAUAAGAUUAGAUAAAUUAUUUUGGAGGAAGUGAUAUUAUUUGAGAUAAUAUUGUUAUUUAUUCGAAGUUUAGUUUUUAUCUAUAUUGGUGAUAUAGUUAGAUUUUUAACACUUUAAUCGGUACAAGCAAUUAUUAUUGAUAGGUUAUAUUGAUAUCUGUUUCUAUGUAAAUAUGUGUAUAUAUAUUUAUAUAUGUUUUGAAUAUUGGUAUUUAGUUUCUUAAUUGGAUUGUGCAAAGUUAGCUAUGAAAAUAUAAUUAUUUAUGUUUCCUUAGUUAUUUCCUGGAUUCUAGAUAUAACCCUUAUUCCUCCAAUAGCUUAUUGAAUAAAUGAAUAAAAUUAUUUUUGUAUAGCAUCUGUGAUAUUGUGGUUGAUUAUUAGCAAGAAUAAAUUAUGUUAGUAUAAACUUUAUGUUACUAUCUAUUGUUAAGAGCUACGUGGACCUGAUCCUCUAUUGGAGGUACGUAGGCAGCCUUCGGGUGCGGUCGAAAUAUAAUAUAUGUUAAGACUUUAAUUAGCAAAUGGUACCGAUGUAAAUUCAAGCCAUAUUAAUAGAUUUUCAUGUUGAAUAAAUUACUUAUUGGAAAUUUAAUAAGUUUAAUAUGACUAAAAUAAUUAACAUACAAAUAAUUAUAUUUAUAAGAUUAUAGAAAAAAAUAAAGCCACAAAAGAAAUCACUGAAUUAGAAAAGAUAUAGGAGAACAAUUUUGAUAAAGAGACUAUGAGUGAAUUAGACCCUUAAUAUUGCCAAAACAUUACUAUAACUUAGGAUACAAGCAUACAGAGUACCUAAAAUGAAUAACUUGGAAAGCUUGUCAAAGGAACGAAAAUUGGCAUGCGAAUAGGUGCAAUUUGUGAUAUAAAACAGCAAUUGAAAGGCAGAGUCGCAGUCUAGAUAUAGAACGUAAGUUGGCAUUUGAAAGGCAGUGCCGUAGUUCAGUUAUGAGGCAUAGACGAAUUGUCACACCUAUUCCAAAUCCUCAUUCACUAGCAGACUAAAUGAAAUUAUUGCUUGAAAAAAUAAAGAAUAAUGGCAUAAAAAUCAUUCUUGGCACAAUAAACUAGGAUUUAAAAAUAUUUAGCGAUUCUUUCCAAAUUUGAAUUGAAAAUGGGGGAGCACCUAUCGGUAGCAGGCCAUAUUGUAUUUUUUUAUUACUUGAUGCUGGACUCCACGCUACACCUUGGAUAACCAAGGCGGGGUAUUAAUCGUUGGUUAAUUAAGGUAAAAUUCUUAAAUGGUGUAGAAAAACCUAAAACGCACUCAUCGAAGCUGUCGCUCGCUACCGAAUUUAUUUUCCCGACUUCGUCCUCUGCACAAAAAGUUGGCCUUCUCGCUUCACCACUAUUUUGGCCUCAAAAAAGUAGAUAUUGCCUUUGUGCUUUCUCCUAACUCUAUUCACCUUUCAAUCCUUUAUUUCUAUAUCUUCUCUCUCGGUGUCGUUACCUCUCCUAAAAAAUCAAGUAUCUUUAAACUUGAGAUUCUCCACCAAAUUCAGCUGUCGAAACCUGUACUUGUGUUCGUCACGUCGAAUGCUGCUCAUUCAAUUCCUAAUCUCAAAACAAUCGUACUCGACUCUCCCGAGUUUGAAUCGCUGACGAUGAGUCUAGCCGGAAGGAGGGAAGGUUUACCAUUUGGACCCUAGGACAAUUCUCUAUCCUCACGGGCUAGUGGUCGAGUUAAUGGAGUUGUUUUGGCUCUUCGAAAUUUCAGAUGCUUGGUGGCCCUAAGUCAUGCGGUUUACACGAGCUGGAUGGCAGCUGCAACUUUCUUUUUUUCCGUUGCCUUAUUUUCAUGUUUAUAGUUUAUGUUAUUUCGUGAGAGUUUUAACUAUGGGAGUGGCGGUGGUGUCCAUAGGUAAAUUUGCUAUGAAGAUAAUGUUGACAGUAAUUCAAGAGUGAAAGAUAGAUUGCACCCGCGGUGGUGCUGAUAACUAAGGAUCCUAGGUUGUUAGACGGCUAAGAUUUUAGCUCUCUAGAUGUUGUAGGUUGCAGCGUUGCUUCGCUUAGGAAAAGCGUAGUUGAACUGUUCCGUGAACAAUUUCGAAAUUUGACUUUAUGUCAGGUUAGUUAAACACCAAACUUGGAUUUUUACCAUUAACCGGUGGUUAAUUUCUCAUAUUGGUUAUUCAAUGUGUAGCGUAUGAUCCACCAUUAAGUAAUAAAAAAAUACAGAUGGAACGUCACGUUAGCUACCGGCAAAUGCUCCCCCGCUUUCAUUUCAAAUUUGAAUUGAAUUGCUAAUUGUUUUUAAAUCCUAACUUAUUGUACCAAGUAAAAUCAUUUUAAUUAAAUGCAAAAAUUCAUAAAGGUUUAAAUUUUUUAUGCCAUUAUCCAAAAAUAUAUUAAAUGUCAUGAAAUACAUCAUAAUAGUUAAUUGACAAAAGGAGAGAAGCACCACAGUACUUCUCCGUUUCGGUUAGUCAAAGAACCUUAUAGGGGUGUUGGAGUUGGUGGUAUUAGAGCUAACGUUUAGGCCUUUUCUAGGUUUUAAGGAGAAGAAACAAGUAUAAGGAAAUGUGUAUACCUUAUAGGUUAAGGUCUGGAUAUAACUCUACUAUAGGCUUUUGUAAGUUGGCUAAGAAUGUUAUUUGACAUUCAACAUGUGUUAGAAGAUACAGGUGAUAGUCUAAAGUCGUGAUCGCGAUAAUCUAUUCAAUGCUACAAAUGUUUGUAUUGUAAGCUGCAGAUUGCAUUAUGGACAUUGGAGCAUUGAGUGGAAAUUGUGUGCAUCACUUUUAAGAAUCUGCUAGGAUAUAGUAGAUGCCUUAUAUCUAAUGCAGUUGUACCAUGACAAGUUUCUAACUGCUGUGAAUUGACUUCGAAUAAAAGUUUAUAUCCUUUUAGAAUAAAAUACUAGAGAUAUUAGCAAUAAGGUAUAGAGAUUUUAUAUGAGAGCGACAAUGUACUCAAAAAACAUAAUUAUUUUUGUGUUGUUUAUCAUUAAAAAGAGGAAUUUUAUAAAUAUUAUGAUAUAAGAGAAAUGAAAAAAAGGAGAGGUAUGAGUAGGUGAAAUAGGCUAGAACAUGUUAGUGACCAAUCUUCUUGUUCACUUUUUACUGUGAUGAUUGUUUGAUAUCGAAACAUAGUCUUAUCCUUCGAGAGAAAUAAAGUUGAAUUAUCAUAAUAACAGAUUCAAGAGUUUUAAAGAAAGUAUAAUUAUCUAAACAUUAUGUAAGAGGAGAUUGAAGAUACAAGGAGAAUACGCACAUAAAAUAAGUGAUAGUUAUGAGAUGGUAGGUGUGAUUAAGGGGUUAAUUUAUCUCAUUAAUGACAUAUUAGUUACUCUAGCUAGGAAAAAAAUAAGAAAGAUUGUAGAGUCUAUCCAACUUUUAAGAACAUGACAUAGAUAGUGUAUGAUUUCGUAAUGUACUUUUUGAUAAAUAUUUCGAUUCAUCACUUGGAAGUGGAUAGGGUUGCCUUUAAGAUUAUAUUGAAGGUCUAUGUUUAAAAACCGAAUUAAUCACUGCAAUAGUUUAUUCUUUUUUCCUUUUUAGAAGCAUUAUUAUAUUUGAUAAGAUUAGAUAAAUUAUUUUGGCGGAAUUGAUAUUAUUUGAGAUAAUAUUGUUGUUUAUUGGAAGUUUAGUUUUUAUCUAUAUUGAUGAUAUAGUUAGAUUUUAAACACUUUAAUCGGUACAAGUAAUUAUUAUUGAUAGGUUAUAUUGAUAUCUGUUUACAUAUAAAUAUGUGUAUAUAUAUAUAUAUAUGUUUUGAAUAUUGGUAUUUAGUUUCUUAAUACGAUUGUGCAAAGUAUAGCUAUGAAAAUAUGAAAAUAUAAUUAUUUAUGUUUCCUUAGUUAUUUACUAGAUUCCAGAUAUAACCCUUAUUCCUCCAAUAGAUUAUUGAAUAAAUGAAUAAGAUUAUUUUUGUAUAGCAUAGUGUGAUAUUGUGGUUGAUUAUUAGCAAGAAAAAAUUAUGUUAGUAUAAACUUUAUGUUAUUAUCUAUUGUUAAGAGCUACGUGGACCUGAUCCUCUAUUGGAGGUACGUAGGCAGGCUUCGGGUGCGGUCCAAAUAUAACAUAUGUUAAGAUUUUAAUCAGCAAAUAGUAGCGAUGUAAAUUCAAGCCAUAUUAAUAGAUUUUUAUUUUGAAUAAAUUACUUAUUGGAAAUUUAAUAAGUUUAAUAUGACUAAAAUAAUUAACAUAUAUAUAAUUAUAUUUAUAAGAGUAUAGAUAAAAAUAAAGCCACAAAAGAAAUCACUGAAUUAGAUAAGAUAUAGGAGAACAAUUUUCAUAAAGUGACCAUGAGUGAAUUAGACCCUUAAUAUUGCCAAAACUUGAUUAUAACUUAGGAUAGAAGCAUACAGAAGUACCUAAAAUGAAUAACUUGGAAAGCUUGUCAAAGGAACGAAAAUUGGCAUGCGAAUAGGUGCGAUUUGGGAUAUAGAACAGCAAUUGAAAGGCAGUGUCACAAUCUAGAUAUAAAACGUAAGUUGGCAUUUGAAAGGCAGUGUCGUAGUUCAGUUAUAAGGCAUAGACGAAGUGUCACACCUAUCCCAAAUCCUCAUUUACUAGCAAACUAAAUGAAAUUGUUUCUUGAAAAAAUAAAGAAUAAUGGCAUAAAAAUCCAAAAUUUUAUUUCUUGGUACAAUAAAUUAGGAUUUAAAAAUAUUUGGCGAUUCUUUACAAAUUUGAAUUGAAAGUGGGGGAGUAUCUGUCGGUAGCAGGCCAUAUUGUAUUUUUAUAUUACUUGAUGCUGGACUGUACGCUACACCAUGGAUAACCAAGGCGAGGUAUUAAUCGUUGGUUAAUUAAGGUAAAAUUCUUAAAUGGUGUAGAAAAACGUAAAACGCUCUCAUCGACGCCGUCGCUCGCUGCCGAAUUUAUUUUCCUGACUUCGUCCUUCGCACAAAAAGUUGGCCUUCUUGCUUCACCACCAUUUUGGCCUCGGAAAAGUAGAUAUUGCCUUUGUGCUUUCUGCUAACUCUAUUCAGCUUUCGGUCCUUUAUUUCUAUAUCUUCUCUCUCGGUGUCGUUACCUCGCCUAAAAAAUCAAGUAUCUUUAAACUUGAGAUUCUCCACCAAAUUCAGCUGUCGAAACCUGUACUUGUGUUCGUCAUGUCGAAUGCUGCUCAUACAAUUCAUAAUCUCAAAACAAUCGUACUUGACUCUCCCGAGUUUGAAUUGCUGACGAUGAGUCUAGCUGGAAGGAGGGAAGGUUUACCAAUUGGACCCUGGGACAAUUCUCU